UACGUAGGUGGCAAGCGUUGUCCGGAUUUACUGGGCGUAAAGAGCGCGCAGGCGGUCGUUCAAGUCGCGUGUGAAAGCCCCCGGCUCAACUGGGGAGGGUCACGCGAUACUGAUCGACUGGAAGGCAGGAGAGGGUAGUGGAAUUCCCGGUGUAGUGGUGAAAUGCGUAGAUAUUGGGAGGAACACCAGUGGCGAAGGCGGCUCACUGGACCGGAACUGACGCUGAGGCGCGAAAGCGUGGGGAGCAAACAGG
rnacentral:rRNA from 1 species